CGAAGUGGGUUUGGGAAACAACCAUCGCAACGCUUGUAAAGCUUCCCCAACCAAUUACUCCUGAUAACUGAUAGGUCCCGUUGUGGCCAAUUUCUUCAUCGUCUGAUCAUCGAAAAUGAGCAUCUAUAAGAGAAGUCCAUACUGACUGGAGAUACCUCCGGAGGAGACCCUCCGAUGGUCAAGUCAGAGAGAAGACUAGACAACAGUAGAAAAAAAUCAGGGACUCAG
rnacentral:lncRNA from 1 species